rnacentral:rRNA from 1 species
UACGGGGGGGGCAAGCGUUGUUCGGAAUUACUGGGCGUAAAGGGCUCGUAGGUGGCCAACUAAGUCGGACGUGAAAUCCCUCAGCUUAACUGGGGAACUGCGUCCGAUACUGGAUGGCUUGAGUUUGGGAGAGGGAUGCGGAAUUCCAGGUGUAGCGGUGAAAUGCGUAGAUAUCUGGAGGAACACCGAUGGCGAAGGCAGCCUCCUGGGCCAACACUGACGCUCAUGCACGAAAGCGUGGGGAGCAAACAGG